rnacentral:rRNA from 1 species
GACGAACGCUGGCGGCGUGGAUUAGGCAUGCAAGUCGAACGGUAGGAUCCUUUCGGGGAUCUGAGAGUGGCGAACGGGUGAGUAACACGUAGGUGAUCUACCCUCAAGACGGGGACAACCCAGGGAAACUUGGGCUAAUACCGGAUGUGAGCUAUCGCGAGAUAGUUUGAAAGGUGGCUUCGGCUGCCGCUUGAGGAUGAGCCUGCGUCCUAUUAGCUAGUUGGUGACGGUAACGGCUCACCGAGGCAGUGAUAGGUAGGCGGCCUUAACGGGUGGUCGCCCACACUGGGAUUGAGAUACGGCCCAGACUCCUACGGGAGGCAGCAGUCGAGAAUAGUCUACAAUGGGUCGAAAGACUGAUAGUGCGACGCCGCGUGAACGAAGAAGCCCUUCGGGUGUAAAGUUCUUUUAUAUGUGAGCAGUGACACCCAUAUUAAUAGUAUGGGUGUAGAGAUAUUAGCAUAUGAAUAAGCAACGGCUAACUCGUGCCAGC